rnacentral:rRNA from 1 species
AUUGAACGCUGGCGGCAGGCCUAACACAUGCAAGUCGAACGAGUGGCGGACGGGUGAGUCAUGUCGGGGAACUUGCUUGAUGGCGGGGGAUAAUUCCUGGAAACGGUAGCUAAUACGGCAUACCUUUAGAUGAGCCCUGUUGGGAUUAGCUAGUUGGUGGGGUAACGGCUCACCAAGGCGACAAUCCCGAGCUGGUCUGAGAGGUUGACCAGCCACACUGGAACUGAGACACGGUCCAGACUCCUACGGGAGGCAGCAGUGGGGAAUAUUGCACAAUGGGCGCAAGCCUGAUGCAGCCAUGCCGCGUGUAUGAAGAAGGCCUUCGGGUUGUAAAGUACUUUCAGCGGGGAGGCGUUACCCGCAGAAGAAGCCCCGGCUAACUCCGUGCCAGCAGCCGCGGUAAUAC